GGGCCCGGCCGGGCCAGGGGGGGCCGAAGCGAGCUCCGGGGAUGAGCUCGGGGGCGGCUGGGUGCGAGCUCCUGCCUCUGCGGCGAAGGCGACGGUGGCGGCAGCAGAGGCGGCGGCGGGGCCCCCAUGGGUCGGCGGCGGGCCUCAGCCGCGGCCUCCACUUCUCCGCUCGCCGGCGGCAUGGCGCCGGGGCCUCGGAGAAGCCGCGUUAGCGGAGGCCCGCGGCCGCUCUGCUGAGGCGAGCCCGCCAAACUCCCCUCCCCCUCCUCCGUCCUCGACCCCCCGCACCUCGCCCCUUCCCCACCCCCUCCUCCGUCUCGGUCCCCCGCGCCGCCGCUCCGGACCACUAUGACCAUGAGAUCCGCAGUGUUCAAGGCGGCCGCGGCCCCUGCCGGCGGCAACCCCGAGCAGCGACUGGACUACGAGCGGGCUGCGGCGCUGGGCGGGCCCGAGGACGAGUCCGGGGCGGCCGAAGCCCACUUCCUCCCCCGGCAUCGUAAGCUCAAGGAGCCGGGGCCCCCGCUGGCCUCCUCUCAGGGCGGGAGCCCCGCGCCCUCUCCAGCCGGCUGCGGCGGCAAGGGCCGGGGCUUGUUACUCCCGGCCGGGGCGGCCCCCGGGCAGCAGGAAGAGAGCUGGGGCGGUUCGGUGCCCUUGCCCUGUCCGCCCCCGGCCACCAAACAAGCCGGCAUCGGUGGGGAGCCAGUCGCAGCCGGCGCCGGCUGCAGCCCCCGGCCCAAGUAUCAGGCGGUGCUGCCCAUUCAGACGGGCUCUCUCGUGGCGGCGGCCAAAGAGCCUACGCCCUGGGCUGGGGACAAGGGUGGGGCGGCUCCCCCAGCUGCCACCGCCUCGGACCCGGCGGGACCCCCACCACUACCUCUGCCCGGGCCGCCGCCACCCCUCGCGCCCACCGCCACCGCCGGGACCCUGGCGGCCAGCGAGGGCAGAUGGAAGAGUAUGAGGAAGAGCCCUCUCGGGGGUGGCGGCGGCUCGGGAGCCUCCAGUCAGGCCGCCUGCCUCAAACAGAUCCUCCUGCUGCAAUUGGACCUGAUCGAACAGCAGCAGCAGCAGUUGCAGGCCAAGGAAAAGGAGAUCGAGGAGCUGAAGUCCGAGAGAGACACGCUCCUUGCUCGGAUUGAACGUAUGGAAAGGCGGAUGCAGCUGGUAAAGAGGGACAAUGAGAAAGAAAGACACAAGCUGUUUCAGGGCUAUGAAACUGAAGAGAGAGAGGAAACAGAAUUGUCUGAGAAAAUUAAACUGGAGCGCCAGCCGGAGCUUUGUGAAACAUCCCAGGCUCUGCCUUCCAAGCCUUUCUCAUGUGGCCGGAGUGGAAAGGGACACAAAAGGAAAACCCCAUUUGGAAAUACAGAAAGAAAGACUCCUGUAAAAAAGCUGGCUCCUGAAUUUUCAAAAGUCAAAACAAAAACUCCUAAGCACUCUCCCAUUAAAGAGGAACCCUGCGGUUCCAUAUCAGAAACUGUUUGUAAACGUGAAUUGAGGAGCCAAGAAACCCCAGAAAAGCCCCGGUCUUCAGUGGAUACCCCACCAAGACUCUGUACUCCCCAAAAGGGAUCCAGCGCCCACCCCAAGGAGAAAGCCUUCUCAAGUGAGAUGGAAGAUUUGCCGUACCUUUCCACCACAGAAAUGUAUUUGUGUCGUUGGCACCAGCCUCCCCCAUCACCGUUACCAUUACGGGAAUCCUCUCCAAAGAAGGAGGAGACUGUAGCAAGGUGUCUGAUGCCAUCAAGUGUUGCAGGAGAGACUUCAGUCUUGGCUGUUCCUUCUUGGAGGGACCACUCAGUAGAGCCUCUAAGGGACCCAAAUCCUUCAGAUAUUUUGGAGAACCUGGAUGACAGCGUCUUCGCAAAGAGGCAUGCAAAGCUGGAGCUGGAUGAGAAGAGGAGGAAAAGGCCUUUUCACGGAUGCCCCCCCUCAGUACUACUAUCUGUGGACGCCAACACAUACUCUAGACUGCUAGACCCAAAGAGUUCUUCUCAACCAGAUGGGAUAUUCAGAGGAUCAGGGAACAAAGAAUUUUACAGCGACUGCAGCUCAGAAUGUAUAAAAAGAAAGGAAUUCAGGAAUCUGAGCCUGAGGUUACCUCAUUUUUCCCUGAGCCAGAUGACGUUGAAAGUUUGAUGAUCACCCCCUUCUUGCCUGUUGUAGCAUUUGGACGACCAUUACCAAAAUUAACUCCACAGAACUUUGAGCUACCCUGGUUGGACGAGCGAAGCCGUUGCAGGUUGGAGAUCCAGAAGAAGCAAACACCUCACCGGACGUGUAGGAAGUAGCUGUGCUGCAAGAGCCCUGUCUUCAGAUAGUUGUAGCAUGCCGUUCCAAGAG